AUAGGUUUGGUCCCAGCCUUCCUGUUAACUUUCAAUAGACUUAUACAUGCAAGCAUCCACGCCCCGGUGAGUAACGCCCUUCGAAUCACAUAGGACUAAAAGGAGCAGGUAUCAAGCACACACUCUUGUAGCUCACAACGCCUUGCUUAACCACACCCCCACGGGAGACAGCAGUAACAAAAAUUAAGCCAUAAACGAAAGUUUGACUAAGCCAUAUUGACCAGGGUUGGUAAAUCUCGUGCCAGCCACCGCGGUCAUACGAUUGACCCAAGCUAACAGGAGUACGGCGUAAAGCGUGUUAAAGCAUCAUACUAAAUAGAGUUAAAUUUUAAUUAAACUGUAAAAAGCCAUAAUUAUAAUAAAAAUAAAUGACGAAAGUAACCCUACAAUAGCUGAUACACCAUAGCUAAGACCCAAACUGGGAUUAGAUACCCCACUAUGCU
rnacentral:rRNA from 1 species